AUGCACCAAGCGUGCACUCAUCUAGCCAUCCUCCAGGUAACCAAAGCAGCUCUAAAACCUCAAUCCUCCCAACCUGAACUACUCCAGGUUCAUCCUGGAGUCUUGGCCAUGGCAGCCGUGGACUGGUCCUCGCUCCCGUGCGACCUCGUCCGCCGCGUCGCCGACUGCUUCCUCGCCGCCAACGACGUGGACUGCUACAUGGACCUCCGCGCCGUCUGCGGCAGCUGGCGCUCCGCCACCGACGACCCCAAGGACGGCCCGGACGACCCUCGCUUCCGCCCCCGGCAGUGGGUCGUGCUCGACGACGACGUCUUCCGGAGAGAGGACACGCGCCUCCUGGUGAACACCCACACCGGCCGCUUCCUCCGCAAGGGGCUCCCUCUGCUGGGCGGCUACCGCUACCGCUACCGGCACGUCGCCACCGCUCUCGGUGGAUUCUUCGUGCUGGCGGACUACGACGACUACAACGCCGCUCGCGUCCUCAACCCUUUCACAGGCCACAUGAUCCAUUUCAUGGCGAAGGCGCCCUCCGACAUGGUGGAUGCUGCUGCUGUCAUCGGGUCACCCCCCACCCUCAUCUUGCUCUGCGACUCGGAUCAUGCGCUAUACAUGGCUGACCCUGGCAGUACAAGUUUUGCUUUGUACCAAGAUGAACACGCUUACCAGCUGAUCCGGCUGGCUGUCGCCGGCGGAAUGUAUGCUGACGGCGAGCAGAGACCGGUGCCCCCGCUGCCGGCUACUGUGGCCGAUAAGAUCUUUGACCUGAUGAGGCUGUUCUCUGUUGAUCCGUCCGAGAUGUUCUGUCGUGAUGUUAUUGAGCGUGUUGCCGAUGAUGCUCCUGAGAUUGGGCAUGCAAACAACAGCCGCUGCUUCCUAGUACAAUCUCUGGGAGAAGUGUUAGUUGUCUUCAAGCUGCGGCAUCGCAUGGAGGUUUUCAGGAUGGACUCUGACAGGGGUGUGCUCGAGCCCGUGAAGAGCAUCGGACGUCGCGCCAUCUUCGUCGACUGCUACAGGUGCCUGGCUGUUGAUGCCGACAAGUUCCCAUCUGUUGAGGCCAACUGCAUCUACCACCUAAUAGGUAUGAAUCCACACGGUGAUGAUGUCUACUUCUUUGACGUCUACAAGUAUGACCUCAAGGAUGGGACAGAAGAGAUGGUCUCUGAAGCCAUAAGUUGGUCAGAUCCCCUCGUACGGUGGGAUGCUGACCCUCCUUUCACCGCCGUUCAGCUCCUCUCCAGCUACAACAUUGAAGUCUGGGAUUCUGAACUUGUGACUCAGGAAAUCUGUCGAGUAGAUGUUGAUCAGUUAGUUGAGGAGGAGUUCCCAAUUUGA
rnacentral:rRNA from 1 species